rnacentral:misc_RNA from 1 species
UAUGGGGUCACACAUAAGAACAGGGUGAGCCGUGUCAAUGUUGUCUCCAAGGAAGAUGCAUUAGACUUUAUUGAGCAUGAUCAAUCUCACAACGCAGAUUAAGCUCAAGUCCUAUCUGGGAUUAAUGAAGUUAUCAAUCUGAGGUUCUGCUGUAAAUAUAGUCUUUUGCGCUUACCAUGUAAAGUAUUAUCUUCAUCAGUCCAAAGAGUUAUCUUUAUACAGAAACGUGGAUUUUGUAGGGUGUUAUGUUUGGUGGAACUGCAAAACUGUGUAGGGGGGUAAAACAGUACUUAGGUUAAUUUGUAUUAUACUCUUAUUUCUGAUUUAUUCC